rnacentral:tRNA from 2 species
GCGGGGGUGCCCGAGCCUGGUCAAAGGGGGCGGACUUAAGAUCCGCUGGCGUAGGCCUGCGUGGGUUCAAAUCCCACCCCCCGCACCA